UACGUAGGCAGCGAGCGUUGUUCGGAGUUACUGGGCGUAAAGAGUGCGUAGGCGGUUUUCUAAGCUUGGUGUGAAAUCUCCCGGCUUAACUGGGAGGUGCGCCGAAACUGGAAGGCUUGAGUAUGGGAGAGGUAAGCGGAAUUCCUGGUGUAGCGGUGGAAAUGCGCAGAUAUCAGGAGGAACACCGGUGGCGAAGGCGGGUCUCUGGCCGAUACUGACGCUGGAGGAAGCGAAAGCGUGGGGAGCGAACAGG
rnacentral:rRNA from 1 species